CCUACGGGGGGCAGCAGUGAGGAAUAUUGGUCAAUGGCCGGAAGGCUGAACCAGCCAUGCCGCGUGAAGGUCAGUGCCCUAUGGGCGUUAAACUUCUUUUGUGCGGGAGCAAUAAUGGUCACGUGUGGCCAGACGAGAGUACCGUACGAAUAAGCAUCGGCUAACUCCGUGCCAGCAGCCGCGGUAAUACGGGGGAUGCAAGCGUUAUCCGGAUUUAUUGGGUUUAAAGGGUGCGUAGGCUGUGAGGUAAGUCAGCGGUGAAAUGCCCCCGCUCAACGGGGUGAAGUGCCAUUGAUACUGCCUGGCUGGAAGGCGGAUGCUGUGGGAGGAAUGUGUGGUGUAGCGGUGAAAUGCAUAGAUAUCACACAGAACACCGAUUGCGAAGGCAUCUCACGAAUCCGCGAUUGACGCUGAUGCACGAAAGCGUGGGUAUCAAACAGGAUUAGAUACCCUUGUAGUC
rnacentral:rRNA from 1 species